rnacentral:lncRNA from 1 species
UUAAUGGUGGGACAUUGGUGUAUGACGCAAAAUUAGAAGUGGCAGUUGGGCUGGCAAGUGGCAUUGCAUGAUUGUUGCAACCAGGAGAUGACACGCAAGUGGAAGAGAGGGGCGACUCAUGGCUACUAAAAGAGGAUGGACAACACACAAGUUGGAUAAGGAAUAAAGUAAAGGUGCGGAAGCAAGAUGUUGGUGGAGCGAAGGCGCAACAAUAAUUGGGAAGUGUGGCAGCACUAAAGAAAGCCUUGGAGCGUAAGGCGAUGAGGAAAAUAGAAGGAGCACACAACGUCAAAUAGAAAGAGGCGAGGUCUGAACAAGAGAGAGGCUCAUGAUAUCAUGUAAGAAAAAAAAAGGAUUUGAAUGUAUGCCAUUAUAUAUUAGAGAUAGGUAUAUAUGCAUAAGAGUAUCUAAAUCAAGAAUUUAAUUACGCACAUCACAAUUACAUAAUAUUUAAUAACCUAAUUGUAGGAAUUUUAUUAACUUAAUUACAAGAGAUUAAUUUCUACUUAGCUUAAUUUUAGAUGAAUAAUUUGGAUUUUAUCAAUUAAAAAUCAACAUUUUCUCUAAUAGUUUUU